UUCAUAGCAAUUUAAAUAGUCAGCAAGUAAAAACCAUAGUUUAAAAACUAAAGAAUCUGGCGGUGUUUUAUAAAAUCAGGGGAGCUUGUAUCUUAAUAUGAUAAUCCACAAAUAUCUUACCAUACUUUGAACUAUAGUCAGUUUGUAUAUUGCCGUUAAAGUUUAACUUAAAAAGUCAAACAACUCUAUUUAUUCUAAAUCAAUUAUAUCUCAGGUCAAAAUACAGCUGAUAGUAUGGAGACAAUGAGCUACAUCUAAAACAUUAUAUAUUUAUAUUACUAACACAAAUCUACAGAACUUGACAGUAAUUAACUUUUACUAAAAAUUUAUCAACCUUAAUAAAACAUGCACAUAUCGCCCGUCACUCUCACUGAAAAAUG
rnacentral:rRNA from 1 species